ACUUUUAAAAGUGAAGGUGUGCUGAGCCGUCAAGAAAGGGCAGAGUGAAAACACCGCUUUUGGGUGAAGCGGCAGCGUGUUGUGUUGUUUUGCUUCAAUCGGUGGUGUGACAAGG